ACCUCCUCCAAUCUACUGAAGACCCGAGGAAGACAAAAAUCUGACCUUUUUGCCUUCAGAUGUGAACUGGAAUAUACCAUCAGCUCUGCUGUGUUUCCAGCUUGUUAACUAAAAAUCUUGGGACUUGUCAGCCUCCACAAUCAUAUAUGUGAUUGAUUUGAACCUGGAUAACCUGCUCCAAGGCAUCUCCACCUGGAACAUGUUGACUGAGAAGAGGAGGAGGUCUCCCAGAGAAAGACUGGGC